rnacentral:lncRNA from 1 species
AAGGUAAACUGAGGCACAUUAAAAAUUUUUUUUCAAGAGUUUAUUUGAGCAGACAUCAAGUGGAACCAAGUAACGCCAAACUGAAAGUGGUUAGGAGUGUGCCACCAACAAGGGCAAGGGGAAAAGUUUUUAUAAAGAUGCAGAAGCAACACAUCUUGGCUGUAGCUUAUAGUUGCUCUAUUUGAGAAAGCCUCGUUGAUUGUGAUUGGUUGUCCUUAAGUGUUAUUUUCUUGGAUUCAAGUGCAUUGACUUCAGCUUACGAUUUAAUUUGCUUACAGGCUACCACGGAAUUAGGACCACCUUAGUCGAAUGGCCUCCUUGUUUAAUCACUUUAACAAAACCUAAGUACCAGUUUUUAGCUCAAAACACUUCAGAGAGUAAAGAGAACCAGAAGAAAGGGGAUCACUCCUAUGAUACUGUCUCUAUCUAUGGAUUGUCUAGACAGCAGCUAUAAUGACCUGAUCUAAGUAUGGGAAACCAGACUUGGUCACCUCUCGCAGCUAGAAAGAAUACCUUCUAGAGGUUACUCUCACUUCUCAGCUUCCCAUAUAUUAAAAUGACAAGGAGAAGCUGGAGAUAAGGGACUAAGAGUUUAUCCUAAUGAAGAAUAUACCAUGAAUUGAUCAUUAUGAUGAACAAUUAUGAUCAGAUUUGCUGGGAGAGUAUUUUGAACAUAUCCACCACUUCAUUUCUACCUCUCACCUGUCUCCUUUGGAUACGUGGUGGCUGAACACUGUAAUCAAAACAACUGAACUUUAUGUUCACCCUUGAUUAGUACAAAAGCAUUUCACUUUUUACCUCAAACAUUCACACCAUCCUUCAUUUGAAUUCUUUUCUCAACUAACCAGGGAGAAGGUUCUGUUCAUUGGAAUGAUGAAGGAAUUGGAUCUCACACCUAGUGGAAUGAUGAAGGAAUUGGAUCUCACACCUAGUGAAAGUGUCUUGGAUUUAUACAUCAUCAUAACAGAAAUUAUAUUCUCAAGAUUACCCGCUUCCCUUCCUUAAGUGGUAAGGCAUUAUUUUCUAGUAUCCUAAAAGAUAAGCAUGUUACACAGGUUACACAUUUCUACCUAACACUUUGAUAAAUUUCUGCAUAUUGUCUAAUUCUGCAUUUUAUUUUAUGAUAGAAACUUUUGUAUCUCCUUUCAGUUCAGUUAGCAGACCUUGAUUGAAAAUACAAAAAGGGCAAGGCAGUGUGUUCACGAAGAGGUAGUAUGUGGGCAUGGAAACUCUGAGGUCAGGCUAACUUGAAACAAUCUCAGCUCCACUUAUGAACCAUUUGUAAACUGGGAGGCGAAUCAGGCUGGAGUGAGGUGUGUGCUGUGCCUAGGUGUCCUUGGGAACCAGGACACAUGAGAGGCUCUUACAGCUUUCAUGAAAAGUUUAAUGAGACAUUCAUUAACAAAAGUUUAAUGAGACAUUCAUUAACAGCUAACAUAAUAAAUAGGAUCACUUUAAAAUUGGAAUUGCUAUAUUGACCAGAUUAAAGAAGAAUGUUAAUUCUGAUGAUGGCAAAAAGACAAAUAAAAAAAAAAAAGAAUAGGUACUACUGAAUAAAAAAUGGAGGUAUAAUACUCUACAGAAGCUAACUUAUAAUCUGUUGAAUAAAGUCACCUAGAGCCUGGAAAUGCGAGGUAAUAUGAAGCCAAAGGGUUUAGGUAGAAUUAAAAAAAAAAUGUUCUCCAUGUUAUUUGACAAAAAGCAUAGUGCAGCAGAUAUCACUGAGCACUGACUUCUGUCCUCAAGAGACCUGGUUUGAUGAACUGAGUUGCAAAAAGCAGUGCUUCCCCAACACUGGAGUUCUGGUCUCAGUUGCACGCUUCUGAAUUUAUUUCAACUGUGGUGGUGGAAAUCGGGUGAGCUCCUUUCUAUAGGGAAAAUCUGCAUAUAUCAUGCAGAUAUAUCUGCAUAUAUCAAAAGUGAAACCUUCUGGAGAAGCUGCUCAUGGGUAGUAAUUGAAUCCAGUAGUGGGUAAUGCACUUGUGGAGAGGUUAGUGGGUGAAGUGUUGGGAGAGGAUUUUGAAAAUCCUGUAUUUGACUGUAGUAUUGAAGAGAGGAAAAGGGAGGAUACGAAGAAGACAAGCAAGGGCAAGAGCCCAUUCAGGAGGGAGGAGGGAUGUGUCAGCUCAGAUCUCCUGAGACUGAGAAGUCCUUAGGGAGGCUCUGGGAGUAGAGAGAGAGACGAGGAAUGUGAGGCAAGAGGCAGAACACAUGUCAUGUGUUCAGAGCACUUGGUCUGCUCCAGAGAGGAGGAACCUCUGGCAGAAAUAUAUCAGAUGAGAUACCCUGGCUCAUAGAGUCCCAUGUCUUUUUUUUUUUUCAGAAAAAUAAUUUAUUUCUCCAUAUGCUUUAUUUAAAAGCAUCUAGCGAACACCACAUAUUUGAAUUUCCAAACACAUUAUUUUCAUUUUGCCUUCUUGUUUUCUUAUUUUGUGAGUAAGUAACCCACUCUACCCAAAGGUAAAAUACAGAUUUUAUUAUAUAUACAAAAUUAAGUCUAGAGUAUAAGGA